GAGGGAAAGGUGAAAAGCACCCCGUUGAGGGGAGUGAAAUAGACCUGAAACCGUCUGCCUACAUUCAGUGGGAGCUCUAUGGCGGUCCUUCGGGACCGCAAUGAGUGACUGCGUACCUUUUGUUUAAUGGGUCCGCGAGUUAUUCCUCAGCAGCAAGGUUAAGCCGACAGGUGUAGCCGCAGCGAAAGCGAGUCUGAACAGGGCGUAGAGUUCGUUGGAUUAGACCCGAAACCGAGUGAUCUAGCCAUGGGCAGGUUGAAGGUGCGGUAACACGCACUGGAGGACCGAACCCACGUCUGUUGAAAAAGACGGGGAUGACCUGUGGUUAGGGGUGAAAGGCCAAUCAAAC
rnacentral:rRNA from 1 species